rnacentral:rRNA from 1 species
AAUUUGUUGACCGAAAACCUCGAGGUUAAUUUAUAUCAAAUUUUGUAAGAUGUUUUUAAAUGAUAUAUAAAUAAUGUUUUUAAAAUACAGGUUCCAUAUGAUAUUAGUCCUUGUCCGGACAAACUAACUAUCGGAAAUUUCUUUUUGGGUUGAAAAGCCUAGAGUGAUAUCUGAUAGGAGCGUUGGUGUUCUUUGGUUGUUGGUCUAAGGCGAUCAGAAGUAUUCUGAGAACCUCAGAUUGACCAUCGAGGAACAUCAACCGUGUCAUUUCCGGUCAACUACGAUCGGGGGUGUCACAGUCGGGGGCAUUCAUAUUUCAUAGUCAGAGGUAAAAUUUUUGGAUUUAUGAAAGACGAACAACUGCGAAAGCAUUAUCCAAGGAUGUUUUCAUUAAUCAAGAACGAAAGUUGGGGGCUCGAAGACGAUCAGAUACUGUCCUAGUCUCAACCAUAAACGAUGCCGACCAGGGAUCAGCGGAUGUUGCUUUUAGGACUCCGCUGGCACCUUAUGAGAAAUCAAAGUUUUUGGGUUCCGGGGGGAGUAUGGUCGCAAGGCUGAAACUUAAAGGAAGUGACGGAAGGGCACCACCAGGAGUGGAGCCUGCGGCUUAAUUUGACUCAACACGGGGAAACUUACCAGGUCCAGACAUAGUAAGGAUUGACAGACUGAGAGCUCUUUCUUGAUUCUAUGGGUGGGUGGUGGUGCAUGGGCGUUCUUAGUUGGUGGAGCGAUUUGUCUGGUUAAUUCCGUUAACGAACGAGACCUCAACCUGCUAACUAGCUACGUUGAGGCAUCCCUUCACGGCCGGCUUCUUAGAGGGACUAUGGCCGUUUAGGCCAAGGAAGUUUGAGGCAAUAACAGGUCUGUGAUGCCUUAGAUGUUCUAGGCCGCACGCGCACUACACUGAUGUAUUCAAUGAGUUCACACCUUGGCCGACAGGCCCGGGUAAUCUUUAAAAUUUCAUCGUGAUGGGGAUAGAUCAUUGCAAUUGUUGGUCUUCAACGAGGAAUUCCUAGUAAGCGCGAGUCAUCAGCUCGUGUUGACUACGUCCCUGCCCUUUGUACACACGGCCCGUCGCUCCUACCGAUUGAAUGAUCUGGUGAAGUGUUCGGAUCGCGGUGACGUGGGUGGUUUGCCGUCAGCGAUGUCGCGAGAGGUCCACUAAACCUCAUCAUUUAGAGGAAGGAGAAGUCGUAACAAGGUUUCCGUAGGUGAACCUGCAGAAG